CCUACGGGAGGCAGCAGUGGGGAAUAUUGCACAAUGGGCGCAAGCCUGAUGCAGCGACGCCGCGUGGGGGAUGACGGCCUUCGGGUUGUAAACCUCUUUCAGCAGGGACGAAGCGUGAGUGACGGUACCUGCAGAAGAAGCACCGGCCAACUACGUGCCAGCAGCCGCGGUAAUACGUAGGGUGCGAGCGUUGUCCGGAAUUACUGGGCGUAAAGAGCUCGUAGGUGGUUUGUCGCGUUGUUCGUGAAAACUCACAGCUUAACUGUGGGCGUGCGGGCGAUACGGGCAGACUGGAGUACUGCAGGGGAGACUGGAAUUCCUGGUGUAGCGGUGGAAUGCGCAGAUAUCAGGAGGAACACCGGUGGCGAAGGCGGGUCUCUGGGCAGUAACUGACGCUGAGGAGCGAAAGCGUGGGGAGCGAACAGGAUUAGAUACCCUU
rnacentral:rRNA from 1 species